rnacentral:tRNA from 1 species
GGGUGCGUAGCUCAGCGGGAGAGCGCUGUCUUCACACGGCAGAGGUCGCUGGUUCGAAACCAGCCGCACCCA